rnacentral:rRNA from 1 species
GACGAACGCUGACGGCGUGCCUAAUACAUGCAAGUCGAACGCUUCUUUCCUCCCGAGUGCUUGCACUCAAUUGGAAAGAGGAGUGGCGGACGGGUGAGUAACACGUGGGUAACCUACCCAUCAGAGGGGGAUAACACUUGGAAACAGGUGCUAAUACCGCAUAACAGUUUAUGCCGCAUGGCAUAAGAGUGAAAGGCGCUUUCGGGUGUCGCUGAUGGAUGGACCCGCGGUGCAUUAGCUAGUUGGUGAGGUAACGGCUCACCAAGGCCACGAUGCAUAGCCGACCUGAGAGGGUGAUCGGCCACACUGGGACUGAGACACGGCCCAGACUCCUACGGGAGGCAGCAGUAGGGAAUCUUCGGCAAUGGACGAAAGUCUGACCGAGCAACGCCGCGUGAGUGAAGAAGGUUUUCGGAUCGUAAAACUCUGUUGUUAGAGAAGAACAAGGACGUUAGUAACUGAACGUCCCCUGACGGUAUCUAACCAGAAAGCCACGGCUAACUACGUG